UUGUGAAAUAGCAGUGGUGUCACCUCAUCUCACCUCACAGACAAGGAAGACAAAAGCAUGAAGGAUUUUCAAGUAAUGGCAGAGAAGUUCCUGAACCCAUGGCUUGACAUAAACCUACCACAGGAGCUAGAGCUUCAUGAUUUCUAUCAAAAGAACAUUUUAUUCUACAGUUUUGUGCUUGCUGCUUUUUCUUCUCAUCUGAGGGUUCCUGCAAUGCUAUGAGGAAAAUUUCUGAGCAACCAUCAUUAUGAUUUAUAAAGCCUUCAAACCAGGCUACUCAGGAGACUACCUGUGAGUUUAUGGCACAGCAGAGACGAAUGGAAACACCUGACCUGCUCAGCCCUGGUUACUCCAUCUCUCCCCUGAAACGCUGCUCCUGGAUCCUGGACUGCUGACAUCUAUCAGCCUCUGGGCAUGCUGUGCAUUUGAACCAACACUGGUAGAAGCUAGCAUGGUCUGAGAGUGUGGGACUGGGACCACAGUGGUUUUCUGGUUGAGAGUAAGGAAAAUGUGGGAGAACAGGUCAAGAAGUUGUAGAUUAGAAUUACUACUCUGCAAGUCAUGCAGCUUACUGUUUUUAGUGUGAAUCAAGGCAGCUGUUUGAUGAGAAGGCUUUGCAUGUACAUAGACACUGAAUUCACAAAGAUACUUAAAAGCCUUUUAGUAUGGUAUAGUACCUCAUAGUGAAAAAUAUUUUCCUUUAUUAAAAAUGAUUGAAUGCAACAAUUAAUUAAAUUGUUAAGAACUUCCUUUAGUUUCAAUAGGGACUGGACACGAAGGAUCAGCACUAAGAAGCAGAUGUGAUGAGUAAGCGUGCAUCCCUUUUGCACAGCCUGCUUUCAUGUCACAAGGCAAAAUAAACAGAGAUACCACAAA